rnacentral:rRNA from 1 species
AACGAACGCUGGCGGCAGGCUUAACACAUGCAAGUCGAGAGCCCCGCAAGGGGAGCGGCAGACGGGUGAGUAACGCGUGGGAGUCUACCCAUCUCUACGGAAUAACGCAUGGAAACGUGUGCUAAUACCGUAUACGUCCUACGGGAGAAAGAUUUAUCGGAGAUGGAUGAGCCCGCGUUGGAUUAGCUCGUUGGUGGGGUAAAGGCCUACCAAGGGGACGAUCCAUAGCUGGUCUGAGAGGAUGAUCAGCCACACUGGGACUGAGACACGGCCCAGACUCCUACGGGAGGCGGCAGUGGGGAAUAUUGGACAAUGGGCGCAAGCCUGAUCCAGCCAUGCCGCGUGAGUGACGAAGGCUCUAGGGUUGUAAAGCUCUUUCACCGGUGAAGAUAAUGACGGUAACCGGAGAAGAAGCCCCGGCUAACUUCGUGCCAGCCGCCGCAGUAACAC